GUGGGGUUUAUGAUAAAAAGAGCAGCAUUACUAACAGCAGCAAAGUCUAAACUGCAGCUUAUAGACAAAAGAAAACAGCUGGUGGAACAACAUAUUACUUUGUCAAGAAGAGCAAGAAGAAGAAGUCAAACAGCGUUAUAAGAAAUUCAUCAGGCAGCAUGUGUUUGGAGCCAUGAAUGUACAGAGAUGUGACAGUGAGAUCCGUACGAGACGCAUCACGGGGUCCCAAAAUGACAACAGCUGCAAAGAAGUCA